UACGUAGGGGGCAAGCGUUAUCCGGAAUUAUUGGGCGUAAAGAGUACGUAGGUGGCAACCUAAGCGCAGGGCUUAAGGCAAUGGCUCAACCAUUGUUCGCCCUGCGAACUGGGAUGCUUGAGUGCAGGAGAGGAAAGCGGAAUUCCUAGUGUAGCGGUGAAGUGCGUAGAUAUUAGGAGGAACACCAGUGGCGAAGGCGGCUUUCUGGACUGUAACUGACACUGAGGUACGAAAGCGUGGGGAGCAAACAGG
rnacentral:rRNA from 1 species